rnacentral:rRNA from 1 species
AGAGUAUAUAGUGAUGGAGGGACGCAGUAGGCUAACUAAACCGGACGAUUGGAAGAGUCCGGCUAAGCAGUGAGGUGUAAGAUGAGUCAAAUGCUUAUCUUUAUAACAUUGAGCUGUGAUGGGGAGCGAAUUUUAGUAGCGAAGUUAGUGAUGUCACACUGCCAAGAAAAGCUUCUAGCGUUUAAUGAUACUCUACCCGUACCGCAAACCGACACAGGUAGUCGAGGCGAGUAGCCUCAGGUGAUCGAGAGAACUCUCGUUAAGGAACUCGGCAAAAUGACCCCGUAACUUCGGGAGAAGGGGUGCUGACUUAGGUCAGCCGCAGUGAAUAGGCCCAAGCAACUGUUUAUCAAAAACACAGCUCUCUGCUAAAUCGUAAGAUGAUGUAUAGGGGGUGACGCCUGCCCGGUGCUGGAAGGUUAAGAGGAGGGUUUAGCGCAAGCGAAGAUCUGAAUUGAAGCCCCAGUAAACGGCGGCCGUAACUAU